GGUUAAAACUGGACAGAACCAGUUUAAUCUGGACAGUACCGGUUUAAACUGGACAGUACCGGUUUAAUCUGGACAGUACCGGUUUAAUCUGGACAGUACCGGUUUAAACUGGUUCCGCCACAGCUGUGAACCCAAACGGUUCCAAAGAACCUCUGGAGUUAGCGUGAAGCCUGGUGGUAGCAGCAUCAUGCUGUGGGCAGCGUUAUUCUAAAUCUGGUUCAUUUGCAGUAAAAUCUGACUAAAUAAAUGAUAGAAAGCAAAUAAACUGAUAAAAUGUUAAA